GACUCAAGUAGCUCAGUCGGCAGAGAGUAAGACUCUUAAUCUCAGGGUCGCAGGUUAGAACCCCACAAUGGUGGGUCA